GAUGAAGAACGCAGCGAAAUGCGAUACGUAAUGUGAAUUGCAGAAUUCAGUGAAUCAUCGAGUCUUUGAACGCACAUUGCGCCCCCUGGUAUUCCGGGGGGCAUGCCUGUCCGAGCGUCAUUUCAACCUUCAAGCUCUGCUUGGUAUUGGGCCUGCGCUGGUCUCCCAGCGGGCCUCAAAAUCAGUGGCGGUGCCAUCUGGCUUCAAGCGUAGUAACACAUCUCGCUUCUGGAGACCCAGGUGUUUGCCUGCCAGCAACCCCAUCUUCUCAGGUUGACCUCGGAUCAGGUAGGGCUACCCGCUGAACUUAAGCAUAUCAAUAAGCGGAGGA
rnacentral:misc_RNA from 1 species